GACGAACGCUGGCGGCGUGCUUAACACAUGCAAGUCGAACGGAAAGGCCCUUCGGGGUACUCGAGUGGCGAACGGGUGAGUAACACGUGGGUGAUCUGCCCUGCACUUUGGGAUAAGCCUGGGAAACUGGGUCUAAUACCGGAUAGGACUACGCGAUGCAUGUCGUGUGGUGGAAAGCUUUUGCGGUGUGGGAUGGGCCCGCGGCCUAUCAGCUUGUUGGUGAGGUUACGGCUCACCAAGGCGACGACGGGUAGCCGGCCUGAGAGGGUGACCGGCCACACUGGGACUGAGAUACGGCCCAGACUCCUACGGGAGGCAGCAGUGGGGAAUAUUGCACAAUGGGCGCAAGCCUGAUGCAGCGACGCCGCGUGAGGGAUGACGGCCUUCGGGUUGUAAACCUCUUUCAGCAGGGACGAAGCGCAAGUGACGGUACCUGUAGAAGAAGCACCGGCCAACUACGUGCCAGCCGCCGCAGUAACAC
rnacentral:rRNA from 1 species